GGGCCCGCACAAGCAGCGGAGCAUGUGGUUUAAUUCGAAGCAACGCGAAGAACCUUACCUGGACUUGACAUCCCCUGAAUAGAUUAGAGAUAAUUGAAGCCCUUCGGGGCAGGGAGACAGGUGGUGCAUGGUUGUCGUCAGCUCGUGUCGUGAGAUGUUAGGUUAAGUCCUGCAACGAGCGCAACCCUUGUCAUUAGUUGCUACCAGUAAGAUGAGCACUCUAGUGAGACUGCCGCGGUUAACGCGGAGGAAGGUGGGGAUGACGUCAAAUCAUCAUGCCCCUUACGUCCAGGGCGACACACGUGCUACAAUGGGCAGUACAAAGAGAAGCGAGACCGCGAGGGGGAGCUAAACUUAGAAAACUGUUCCCAGUUCGGAUUGCAGGCUGAAACCCGCCUGCAUGAAGCCGGAGUUGCUAGUAAUCGCAAAUCAGCAUGUUGCGGUGAAUACGUUCCCGGGCCUU
rnacentral:rRNA from 1 species